rnacentral:rRNA from 1 species
CUACGGAAGGCAGCAGUGAGGAAUAUUGGUCAAUGGGCGCAAGCCUGAACCAGCCAUCCCGCGUGAAGGAAGAAGGCGCUACGCGUUGUAAACUUCUUUUUCAGGGGAAGAAAAUUUUCUACGUGUAGAGAAUUGACGGUACCCUGUGAAUAAGCAUCGGCUAACUCCGUGCCAGCAGCCGCGGUAAUACGGAGGAUGCGAGCGUUAUCCGGAUUUAUUGGGUUUAAAGGGUGCGUAGGCGGAUUGGUAAGUCAGUGGUGAAAUCCUGCAGCUUAACUGUAGAAUUGCCGUUGAUACUGUCAGUCUUGAGUACGGUCAAGGUAGGCGGAAUGUGUAAUGUAGCGGUGAAAUGCUUAGAUAUUACACAGAACACCAAUUGCGAAGGCAGCUUACUGGGCCACAACUGACGCUGAGGCACGAAAGCGUGGGGAGCGAACAGGAUUAGAUACCCCGGUAGUCCC